rnacentral:rRNA from 1 species
AGUUCGGAUUGUAGUCUGCAACCCGACUACAUGAAGCUGGAAUCGCUAGUAAUCGCGGAUCAGCAUGCCGCGGUGAAUACGUUCCCGGGUCUUGUACACACCGCCCGUCACACCAUGGGAGUCGGGAAUGCCCGAAGUCAGUGGCCCAACCGGAAGGAGGGAGCUGCCGAAGGCAGGCCUGGUAACUGGAGUGAAGUCGUAACAAGGUAAC